rnacentral:lncRNA from 1 species
CGCUUGCGGAUGGGCCGAGAUGGUGCCCCUGCCGAGGGGGCUGGCUGGGUGCCCCACUCCCCCAGCAUGAGGUUCUGUUGGGGGCUGGGCCCGACUUGGACAUGGCCUCCAGGCCCCCAGCCCUGUGGGAGCAGGGGUGUGGCCAGCUCAGCAGAGGCGGCCCAGAGAGAUCGUGAGUCCACUGGGGGCAGCGCCCCUCCUGCCCAGCGCUACCUUGGUGGAGAGUGAUGGGGUCUGACCACUUGGUCUCAGCCCUGGGUGAGCCCCUGGUGUCCAUCAGGAGGAACUUCACCCUGGGGAUGGGAGGUGGUGGGGGAGGAGGGGAGAGCUUCAGAGGCUGGGACCACCCUGGGCAGGGCCAAGCCCCAGGCAGCUCCUCUGGGGCCCUCCCAUGGAUGUGGAGUGGGGGUGCCCGUCAAGAGCAGCAGCCCAUGGCCUGGCCCUGCUCUGAGAAUCCCCUGAGAUGUCUCCAGCCACUUGGCCUGUGCCACCACCCCUCAUCCCCCCGAGCAAUUGCUCUCCAGACACCAGACCUGGGCCGGGGAUGCUGGUUUAGGGGCCCUGGUUCCUAAAUGUCACAAGCCAAAAGAGCAGGUGAAGGUGGCUUAGCAGGGCACAUGGGGCAGGGGUCACAGGCCUCCCAGAGGGGCAGCAGUAGCCGGGGGCAGGGGGCUCAAUCACCAGCAGCCUGAGGACCCAGGGCACCAGGAGCCCCGCAGAGGGCCUCGGUUUGUCUCUUUGCAGGGCUGGGAGCUCUGCAAGGCCUGGGAAGCGGGGAAGGACCUGGCAGGUUGGCAUUGAAAAGAGUGGCUGCGGGGGAUGGGGCGGGGCAUGGAGCUGGAAGGCUGAGCCAGGGUGAGGCAGCGGGGAGGGCAGAGGGUGGACCUGGAGAGUGGGUGAGAGGGCAGAAGGGGGCUGGGCGGAGCGGGGUGCUGUUCCAGCCUCACCACGCCCUGCCUUCCCGGCUUCCCCUGGGCCUGGUCUUCCUGAGGUCACCCCGCCUCCUCCUGUGUCCGGACAGUCCUGACCUGGACACACUGCCUGCUUCCCCAUCCCGGCUCCACCCCGAUGUUGGCAGGCCACUUGACCUCCUGUGCCUCAGUUUCCUCAUCUGUAAGAGCGGGUCCCAAGCUGUUAUCUGUGGUGUGUAGGGCACCAGCUCUGUGGCCACGGGGGACAAAAGGACCCCCACUCACCCAGGCUCAGGCUGGGCCGGAGACAGUUCAACGCCAGGAGGAGCAUCUGCAGCCCUAGGUGAGGCUGCCCCCAGGGUAGCCCCAUGACAGCUGCCAGCACCCGGGAGGCUCAGGGGCUGGUCUGGCUGCUUCGGGCUGCACCUCACCCCCAACAGCUUGGCCCUGGAGAAGCUGGUUAAUCAGGCUGCCCCAGGGGCUGGAAAGACCUGCAAAUGAAGAAGAACUUGGAUUCAGAGAAAGGGCUGCAGAGCCCUUGACAGCUGACAAGCCCGCCACUUAAACACUACUCCCGGGAUUUGGCGCUCACUAUGUGUGUAUUUUUCAAGACAUAACUCACAUACCUUCACAACCUUCACAGCUCAGUGGCUUAAAUAUAUAUAUGUCACCCAGGGAGGUCAGUUCACAGCUAACUGGAGCCUCAAACUCCCAGGUUCAGUUAAUCCUCCCACCUCAGCCUUCCCAGUAGCUGGAACCACAGGCACACAACACCAUGCUCCGGCUAAUUUUUAAAAUUUAUUUAAUUAAUUUUUUUUUAAGAUGGAGUCUCCUUUGUUGUCCAGGCUGGAGUGCAGUGGCGUGAUCUGGGCUCACUGCAACCUCCGCCUCCUGGGUUCAAGCGAUUCUCCUGCCUCAGCCUCCCAAGUAGCUGGGAUUACAGGCAUGUGCCCCACGGCCAGCUAAUUUUUGUAUUUUUAGUAGGGACGGGGUUUCACCAUGUUGGCUUGGCUGGUCUCAAAUUCCUGAUCUCAAGUGAUCCACCCGCCUUGGCCUCCCAAAGUGCUGGGAUUACAGGCAUGUGCCACCGUGCCUGGCACCCCCGCCAAUUUUUUUUUUGUUUUUUUUGAAACGGAGUUUUCACUCUUGUUGCCCAGGCUGGAGUACAAUGGCUCGAUCUUGGCUCACCGCAACCUCCACCUCCUGGGUUCAAGUGAUUCUCCUGCCUCAGCCUCCUGAGUAGCUGGGAUUACAGGCAUGUGCCACCACACCUGUCUAAUUUUGUAUUUUUAGUAGAGAUAGGGUUUCUCCACGUUGGUGAGGCUGGUCUCGAACUCCUGACCUCAGGUGAUCCACCCACCUCAGCCUCCCAAAGCGCUGGGAUUGCAGGUGUGAGCCACUGCGCCCGGCUGGCCAAUUUUUAAAAAUGUAUUUUUUAUAGAAACAGGAUCUUGCUAUGUUGCCCAGGCUGAUCUCUAACUCCUGGGAGGAUCAAGCAAAUCUCCUGCCUUGGCCUCCUAAAGUAUUGGGAUUACAGGCGUGAGCCACCGUGCCUGGCUAUUUUUUUUUUUUUUUGAGACAUGGAGUCUCACCCUGUCGCCCAGGCGGAGGUUGCAGUGAGCUGAGAUCGCACCACCGCACUACAGCGUGGAUGACAGAGUGAGACUCUGUCUCAAAAAAAAUAUAAUAAAAAUAUAUUUCUUGUAGAGACAGGGUCUCACUGUGUUGCCCAGCCUGGUCUUGAACUCCUGGCUCAAGGGAUCCUCCUGCCUCAGCCUCCCAAAGUGCCCAGAUUACAGGCAUGAGCCACAGCGCCCAACAGCUUUUAGUAUAUCAACAAGGUUGUGCAACCAUCACCAAUUCCAGAACCUUCUUACUUCCCCAAAACGAAACACUACACCCAUUAAACGGUAACUCUCCAUUCUCCCGUCCCCAGUGACGACUAAGCUACUUCUUGUUUCCAUGGUUUUGCCCGUAAUGGACAUUUCAUAGGAUGCAGUCACACAACAUGUGACCUUUUGUGUCUGGCUUUUGUUACUUUUUCAAGGUUCCUCCUCGACUGUGAUUGCUUCAUUCCUUUUCACAGUUGAGUAA